rnacentral:rRNA from 1 species
AUGAGGGCCCACCCCACCCAACAGCGCUUAUGUCAUAUGGGAACUCUCGGCUGGAAACAAUCCUUAUGGUUUUUAUAUCCGGUUAGAAUAAUAAGAAAGAAUCAAAGUCCAGGUUGGUUGGUGAGCCUAGUGAUAGGAGACUAUCUAGCUUGGUUCGGAGAGCACUUGUUGGGUUUCAGAUUCAUUUUUUGCUAA